rnacentral:rRNA from 1 species
GUGGGGAAUCUUCCGCAAUGGACGAAAGUCUGACGGAGCAACGCCGCGUGAGUGAUGAAGGUCUUCGGAUUGUAAAGCUCUGUUAAUCGGGACGAAAGAGCCUAGUGUGAAUAAUGCUAGGAAGUGACGGUACCGGAAUAGAAAGCCACGGCUAACUACGUGCCAGCAGCCGCGGUAAUACGUAGGUGGCAAGCGUUGUCCGGAAUUAUUGGGCGUAAAGCGCGCACAGGCGGAUCUGCCAGUUGGUCCUAAAAGUGCGGGGCUUAACCCCGUGAUGGGAUGGAAACUACAGAUCUGGAGUAUCGGGGAGGAAAGUGGAAUUCCUGGUGUAGCGGUGAAAUGCGUAGAUAUUAGGAAGAACACCAGUGGCGAAGGCGACUUUCUGGACGAAAACUGACGCUGAGGCGCGAAAGCCAGGGGAGCGAACGGGAUUAGAUACCCUAGUAGUCC